rnacentral:tRNA from 1 species
UCGGGAUAGCUCAGCUGGUARAGCAAAGGACUGAAA